AUUGAACGCUGGCGGCAUGCCUUACACAUGCAAGUCGAACGGCAGCACGGGUGCUUGCACCUGGUGGCGAGUGGCGAACGGGUGAGUAAUACAUCGGAACGUACCUUAUCGUGGGGGAUAACAAAUUGAAAAAUUUGCUAAUACCGCAUAAUACUCUGAGGAGGAAAGCGGGGGAUUCGUAAGAACCUCGUCCGAUUAGAGCGGCCGAUGGCUGAUUAGCUAGUUGGUGAGGUAAAGGCCCACCAAGGCAACGAUCAGUAGCAGGUCUGAGAGGAUGAUCUGCCACACUGGAACUGAGAAACGGUCCAGACUCCUACGGGAGGCAGCAGUGGGGAAUUUUGGACAAUGGACGAAAGUCUGAUCCAGCAAUGCCGCGUGAGUGAAGAAGGCCUUCGGGUUGUAAAGCUCUUUUGUCAGUGAAGAAAACUUUAAUAGUAACACUAUUAAAGCAUGACGGUAACUGAAGAAUAAGGACCGGCUAACUACGUGCCAGCAGCCGCGGUAA
rnacentral:rRNA from 1 species